rnacentral:rRNA from 1 species
UACGGAGGGUGCAAGCGUUAUCCGGAAUCACUGGGUUUAAAGGGUGCGUAGGCGGCUGAGUCAGUCAGGGGUGAAAGCCCGCAGCUUAACUGCGGAACUGCCUUUGAUACUGCUUAGCUUGAAAGAGGUUGAGGUCAGCGGAACGUGACAUGUAGCGGUGAAAUGCAUAGAUAUGUCACAGAACACCAAUUGCGAAGGCAGCUGACUGGGCCUGCUUUGACGCUGAGGCACGAAAGCGUGGGGAGCGAACAGG